GUUGUAUUACCUCCAUCCCAAAUUACUUGUCUUAGAUUUAUCUAGAUACGAAUAUAUCGUAAACUUAACACUAAAAAAGUGUUAGAUACAUCCGUAUCUAGACAAAUCUAAGACAAGUAAUCUGGGACGGAGGGAGUACUAA
rfam:Triticum aestivum genome assembly, contig: Triticum_aestivum_CS42_TGACv1_scaffold_514170_6BS